GACGUAGGAUGCAAGCGUUUGUCCGGAAUUAUUGGGCGUAAAGAGUUCGUAGGCGGUUAUUUAAGUCUGGUGUUAAAUACUAGGGCUCAACCCUGGCAUGGCAUUGGAAACUGGGUAGCUAGAGUACGGUAGAGGUCUCGGGAAUUCCAGGUGUAGCGGUGAAAUGCGCAGAUAUCAGGAGGAACACCGGUGGCGAAGGCGGGUCUCUGGGCCGAUACUGACGCUGAGGAGCGAAAGCGUGGGGAGCGAACAGG
rnacentral:rRNA from 1 species